rnacentral:rRNA from 1 species
GACCAAUAAAUUGAGUUAUACUAUCCGGUUAAAAGACAAUUAAACAACUCAUAGUCUUUAGAUCCCUUGUAAGUAAGUAAAAUUUUUACAUAAUGAUAUUUCUUAGAAAACUGCGCAGUUGAAUUUGUGAACUCUUUUAAAGAAACUGGGAUUGGAUACCCCAUUAUUUCUAGAAAUAAAUAUAUACUACCUGAGUACUACGAACAAUAGUUUAAAACUCAAAGAGCUUGGCGGUGUUAUAGACCUCUUAGGGGAACCUGUUUCAUAAUCGACAAUCCACGUUACACCUUACCUUUCUUUGCGUAUCAGCUUGUAUACCGUUGUCACCAGGUAACCUUCUGAGAGAAUAAAGGUUAGCUAGAAAAUUGAUUAUAUUAUUAUGUCAAAUCAAGGUGCAGCUUACAGAAAGGAGAAAAUGGGUUACAAUUAUAAACUUAUAACUACGAAUAACUUUAGCAAUUAAAUUUUUGAAGGAGGACUUAAUAGUAAUCCUAUUCUAUAAAAAUAAGAUGAACAAGGCUCUAAAGCGCGC